AAGAGCAUGCACCAGAGGCUGCCUGCCAGACUCACUCCGGGCACGGGAUCCAUGGGGAGGUACACCCGCCACACCGCCCAACCAUCCGGAGGGCACCCCGCAAUGUACAGAGCCCCAAAACCCAAGCACACGCUGGGCGAGGCACUGCCACAUUAUCACCCACCAAGCGACGUACCACAAAGCAGAGGAAAACGGAGAAGCGGCGGAGGGCGGUCAGACGCCACCAGUACAAGAGCUCUUACUAUCGACCUACCUCUGGCCUCCAGAAAAAGCAAAGACCAAGCGGAGUGACCCGAACAGCCGUGCCACCAAACGGGACACUCAUCCAGCAUCGAAACCCCCCAGGGGGGAACUCAGAGGUACCACAGUGUGCCCUGGGAGCUUCCCUGAAACUAGGGAUUGGCUGAGCCGGAGACUCCCUGAGGACAGAGGACUAAGCAACUAAUCUCUGAGUCCCCUAUACUAUUGAUGGACAUAAUGCGAUACCAUACCGUCUUAGUUAGCCUGUAUCCCAGCAGUUAAUUAACUUAUUAACCAGCGAGCACUUAACAUUUCUAUAAACCUUUUAAUAUGUAUCUCGCAGACUUUCACCCUAUUACUAGGACAUCUCACCUUUUAUACACCCUUAACUUACUUAGUGCAGACAGUAUGCCUAGCUUGAGUCGAAUGUCCAUAGUUAAAUAGUGCAGAACCAUUAAGAUCGCCAUAUAACGCAAAACGCUGGAAUAUACGUCUCAUUAGGCAACGUGUUUUAUCAAUCUUGUGGGCAGAUUACUGUCUACCUAUAUGCAUUAUUUUUAUCAUACUUAAUCAUCUUAGCUAAGGGUGUUUUCUUGUUAUCAAAUGUUAUAGUGGUGACUCCUCAUGUCCUAUGCAUAACUGGUCUGUCGUGUUUAAACUUUCUAAUACAUCUAGGCACGCUAUAUCUCGUUAAUCAUCAGAUGACUACUCAUGUAUAUCCAACCUACACCUGUGCUUCCUGAUGCAUUAUUGGGAUUUCUUACAAUGUUUAUUUUUCCUUCCACUCUUACAAAAAAUUGUGCAGAUUGUCUUGACAUGCAAACUACUUUUGUCUCCCUACUGUUCAUGGAUAUACGAUAUGUCAAUGCAUACCUGUGUU